GACGAACGCUGGCGGCGUGCUUAACACAUGCAAGUCGAACGGUAAGGCUCCAGUUUGCUGGUGGACACGAGUGGCGAACGGGUGAGUAACACGUGGGUGACCUGCCCUGCACUUCGGGAUAAGCCUGGGAAACUGGGUCUAAUACCGGAUAGGACCAUGGUGUGGAUACUGUGGUGGAGAGUUUUUUCGGUGUGGGAUGGGGCCGCGGCGUAUCAGCUUGUUGGUGGGGUAGUGGCCUACCAAGGCGGCGACGGGUAGCCGGCCUGAGGGGGUGGACGGCCACAUUGGGACUGAGACACGGGCCGGACUCGUACGGGAGGCAGCAGUGGGGAAUAUUGCACGAUGGGCGGAAGCCUGAUGCAGCGACGCCGCGGGGUGGAUGACGGCCUUCGGGUUGUAAACUCCUUUCGCCAUCUAUGAAGGGUUUCUGACGGUAGAUGGUGAAGAAGCACCGGCUAACUACGUG
rnacentral:rRNA from 1 species